GACCGGCUGUCCCCCGCCCCGCUGGGACAGGCUGGCCCGCGGGACUGCUCCGGACGGGAAUCAAAGCUUUGGGAAUGCGCACGGGAGCUCCAGAACCUGCCAGUCAGGCGGGAUCCACCAUCCUGCAGGAGGGCUGGGGUCAGCCAGGGGCUGCCUUGCCCCGCUCCUGCCCUGGAUUUGGCAGGGAUUUGGGAUGCUCCGGGCACAGCCAUUCCCUGCGGCGUCUUCCCAAGGCAUUGCAGGUUUUACCAUAAUCCAGCUGCUUCUGGCCCGGUUUGGGAGACCUUCCUCCAGGAACACUUCCUGCUCCCGUCCACACCAUUCCAGACAAAUUGAUGGAGUCAGCAGGAUGGGAAGUGUUAUCACGUACUACAAAAACAUGGAAUGAUUCCAAGUCCCAGAUUAUCAGAUAAAUGGGCUCCUGAUAA